UCACCUUUGGAUAUGGAUUUGGUAGAACCAAUGCAGUUCAUUAACCAAAUUGGACUGAAUGUAGUCCCUCCCAGAGACCAAGAUGUGACUUUGGGUUGCUAGCUUACUGGUAGUUGGGACAAACAAAUCACUCCAAGAUGUCACCUUUGGAAUGGACUUUGCAGAACCGCUGCAGUUCAGGAACCAAAUUGGACUGAAUCAAGUCCCCUCAGAGACCAAGAUGUGACUUUUGGGAUGCUAGCUCUAGAUAGCUGAGAAAAAUCAGUCCAAAAUAUCACCUUUGAAUAUGGAUUUGGUAGAACCAAUGCAGUUUAGGAGCUAAAUUAGACUGAAUCGAGUCCUCCCAGAGACUAAGAUGUAACUUUGGGAUUCUAGUUUAUUGGUAGUUGGGACAAACAAAUCAGUCCAAGAUGUCACCUUUGAGUAUGGAUUUUGCAGAACUGGUGCAGUUCAGGAACUAAAUUAGAAUGGAUCCAGUCGUCCCAGAGACCAAGAUGUGACUUUGGGAUGCCAGCUCACUGGUAGUUGAGACAAACAGAUCAAGCCAAGAUGUCACCUUUGAAUACGGAUUUGGUAGAACCAAUGCAGUUCAGGAGCCAAAUUAGACUGAAUCAAGUCGUCCCAGAGACUUCACCUUUGGACAUCACCUUUGGAUAUGGAUUUGGUAGAACCAAUGCAAUUCAUUAACCAAAUUGGACUGAAUGUAGUCCCUCCCAGAGACCAAGAUGUGACUUUGGGAUGCUAGCUUACUGGUAGUUGGGGCAAACAAAUCAUUCCAAGAUGUCACCUUUGGAUAUGGACUUCACAGAAUCGCUGCAGUUCAGGAACCAAAUUGGACUGGAUCCAGUCCUCCCAUCAGAGAUGAAGGGGAAUUCCUCUAAUUCUUUCAUGGAAGGAGAAAAAGAGCCAAUCGGGAAUUCCUGACAUCCAGCUUUGAAGAAAAAUGUAGGUUGGGGCUGGAAUCCGAGCACUACUCCCAACAGCAACAGAGUGGUGGAGGAAGAUGGCUUGCACUGGAGAGUCAGAAGAUGUGGGUUCGGGCCCCAGUUCCUCCAUGGAACAGUUGUUUUUCCUUGGGAAAAAUCACUCAAUCUAUUUGGACUUAAUUUUUUCAUUUUAAAAAAGGAGAGGGAUCAUUCUGUGAGAACUGGAUGGUGAUCUAGUUUCUACAGGGUUAUGAAAAUUGAAUCGGUGUAAUUGAAAUUUAAAUUAGAAAAUUCGAAACCUAAGAAAUGGGAGGCUGGGACCCACAAGGAAAUCAAAGUAAUGAAAUCAGGGGUGGGGAUUUUAGAUUUGAAAAGGAACUCUCUGGAUUUGCCCCCUUCUCCUGCCUGCUUCCUCCCAAAUCUGGUUCCUUCCAAGUGUUAGCUUCUUCCAAAAGAAAGUAAGCUCCUUGAGAGCAGGGACUGGUUUGUGAUAUCAGGGUAGGGAAUUAGAACAGGAGAUACUUGUGAGAUGUAAUGAGUGGUGGAGAUUUCACACUCUGGAACUUUAGUAACAACUCUAUUAAUGGGGAAUCGGGAAGGGCAAACACUUCAGAAUACAUAGGAGUGUCUUUCUGGUUUCCAAAAACGUGCUCAUUUAUGAAGUCUUUCUUGCAAUAAUGGAAAAUAAAAUCUUUCCAGCACUCA